UCUGAUCUUCUUUUUUCCAUAAUUUCAACUUUUUUCUUUUGGUGGGUAUGCAUAAAAUUGAAGAAGAAAAGAGAGGAGAGGAGAAAUUAAUCAAGAGAGUUAUAUUUACAAAUAUAUAUAAUUACCUGCUGCCAGUUGGGGGGAUCUAAAUAGACUGGAACAGAAGAGAAAACCAUGGUGGAUUUUGUUUUUUUUUUUUUGUUUGAUGAUCUUUUUUUCUUUAAUAAAGUUUGAUGGGUUCUUUAGGGAAAAAAUAUGGUGGAGAAUCAAACUAAGGGAAUACCAGCAGAGAGAGAGAGAGAGAGGCCAAGGGAGAAAAGAGAGAAUUAAAGGAGGGGGGAGAAGAAUGGGG
rnacentral:lncRNA from 1 species